GACGUAGGGCGCGAGCGUUGUCCGGAUUUAUUGGGCGUAAAGAGCUCGUAGGCGGCUUGUUGCGUCGACCGUGAAAACCCGGGGCUCAACUUCGGGCUUGCGGUCGAUACGGGCGGGCUAGAGUUCGGUAGGGGAGACUGGAAUUCCUGGUGUAGCGGUGAAAUGCGCAGAUAUCAGGAGGAACACCGGUGGCGAAGGCGGGUCUCUGGGCCGAUACUGACGCUGAGGAGCGAAAGCGUGGGGAGCGAACAGG
rnacentral:rRNA from 3 species